UUCGUAGUGUAGUGGUUAUCACGUGUGCUUCACACGCACAAGGUCCCCGGUUCGAUCCCGGGCGGAAACAUUGCCUUUUAACAAAACGUGCAUUUUGUUUAUAAGUUAACACAGCCAUAAAUAAGACACCGUGUCUAUCUUUAUCUUCGUAUAUCUCUUACGCUUCUUACAUCUUGCUGUCGACCGUGAAUGACAGCAUGACAAGUUAAAUUUCUAGUCGAACACAGCACUGCGGAGUGUAAAAUAGAGAAUUUCGUUAAAUGAUCGCGCGAGGUGCAAAAAACAAAACCGACCGACCCUCGAAUUAUGCAGUGGAGUUUACUCGCUGCAGCACAACACAACACAACAACAUCGACAUCAACGUCGCGUAAAUUCCAAUGGAUUAUUCGUGACGCAAAAGAUGUCAACAGGCAAUAAACCCCGAAAGUAAAACCUCGAAAACUGCAUUCUCCGUGCAGUUUCGAGGCGUUGAACUUCCACCACAGGCAAAGAAAGUCGUGUGGUCAUCGCUGCAUCCUGAUUUUCCUGUUCAGCUGGCUACCUGCAUCAACCCGAGGCUCCUGCACUUUGCUUUAGCAAAUUUACGCACGUAGUUUGUAUUAUAAACUACUUUCAUAUAGUAACAGAGUG